GACGAACGCUGGCGGCGUGCUUAACACAUGCAAGUCGAACGGAAAGGCCCUGCUUUUGUGGGGUGCUCGAGUGGCGAACGGGUGAGUAACACGUGAGUAACCUGCCCUUGACUUUGGGAUAACUUCAGGAAACUGGGGCUAAUACCGGAUAGGAGCUCCUGCUGCAUGGUGGGGGUUGGAAAGUUUCGGCGGUUGGGGAUGGACUCGCGGCUUAUCAGCUUGUUGGUGGGGUAGUGGCUUACCAAGGCUUUGACGGGUAGUCGGCCUGAGAGGGUGACCGGCCACAUUGGGACUGAGGUACGGGCCAGGCUCCUACGGGAGGCAAGAGGGGGGAAUAAUGCACAAUGGGGCGAAGGCUGAAGCAAGAACGCCGGGGGCGGGAAGACCGCCUUCGGGUUUGAAACCGCUUUCGCCUGUGACGGAGCGUGGGUGACGGUAAUGGGUAAAGAAGCACCGGCUAACUACGUG
rnacentral:rRNA from 1 species